AGGGAUCAUUAGAGAGUGCCCUACUCCCAAAACCCAUGUGAACUUACCUGUACGUUGCCUCGGCGGGGGAGGGGCUGGCCACCCCCCCUCCGCCAGGCGGCCCACCAAACCCUGUUUAGCCCUGAAUCUCUGAGACGAUAAAACAAUGAGUUAAAACUUUCAACAACGGAUCUCUUGGCUCUGGCAUCGAUGAAGAACGCAGCGAAAUGCGAUACGUAGUGUGAAUUGCAGAAUUUAGUGAAUCAUCGAAUCUUUGAACGCACAUUGCGCCCGCCAGUAUUCUGGCGGGCAUGCCUGUUCGAGCGUCAUUUCAACCCCUUAAGCCCUUGUCGCUUAGUGUUGGGAGCCGACGGCGUCCUGCCGUCGCUCCUCAAAUCCAGUGGCGGAGCCGGUUUCGCGCUCUGGGCGUAGUAGAUUUUCUCCAUCUCGCCUGCAGCCGGGGCCGGCCUCCCUGCCGUAAAACCACCACCAAUGUACCCAAAGGUUGACCUCGAAUCAGGUAGGAAUACCCGCUGAACUUAAGCAUAUCAAUAAGCGGAGGAAAUGAAACCAACAGGGGUUGCCCCAGUAACGGCGAGUGAAGCGGCAACAGCUCAAAUUUGAAAUCUGGCCCUCGGGUCCGAGUUGUAAUUUGUAGAGGAUGCUUUUGGCGCGGUGCCUUCCGAGUUCCCUGGAACGGGACGCCUUAGAGGGUGAGAGCCCCGUACGGUUGGACACCAAGCCUCUGUAAAGCGCCUUCGACGAGUCGAGUAGUUUGGGAAUGCUGCUCUAAAUGGGAGGUAAAUUUCUUCUAAAGCUAAAUAUUGGCCAGAGACCGAUAGCGCACAAGUAGAGUGAUCGAAAGAUGAAAAGCACUUUGAAAAGAGGGUUAAACAGCACGUGAAAUUGUUGAAAGGGAAGCGUUUGCGACCAGACCUCUCCCCGGCGGAUCAUCCGGCGUUCUCGCCGGUGCACUUCGCCGGGCUGAGGCUAGCAUCGGUUUCCGCGGGGGGACAAAAGCGGGGGGAACGUAGCUCCCUCGGGAGUGUUAUAGCCCCCCGCAUAAUACCCUCGCGGGGACCGAGGACCGCGCUUCGGCAAGGAUGCUGGCGUAAUGGUCGUCAACGACC
rnacentral:rRNA from 1 species